rnacentral:rRNA from 1 species
AUGUGGCGUUGCCGCACGGUGGCGCUCGGCUAUGAGCACCACCAGCGGGUGGGCCUAAUGUUCUCUAUGAAUGUUCGCGGGGGUGGGAAGCGCCAUGGGAUCGUCCCGCAUGGGUUUUACGGCAACGCACUAUUCUACCCUGUGGCAGACACGACCGUCGGAGAGCUAUCUGGCAACCCACUUAGCUACACACUCGGACUCAUCCGUGAGGCCAAGCGCAACAUGACAGACGACAACAUGGAGUUCAUGGUGGAUUUCAUGGCAUCUCUACAUGGGCAGCCACCUCUCACCAUUGAUAAAAUGUAUGAGGUCUCUGACAUGAAAUGGAUUGGACAGGAGGCGCUGGACUUCCAAUGGGCGAAGCGGGUUGGCGGCGGCUUACCCAUGGUGGGGGACAUCUCCUUCGACUCUGUGAGCUGCCACAUGAGGUGUAGGAAUGGCAAGGGUCAGGACGUGAUCGUGAUAAACAUGAUAUUGCCAGGACCUGCAAUGGACAAGUUUGAGAAGGAGAUUGCUGUUUGGGUGUGCAAUGGACAAGACGAAAAGUAG